rnacentral:rRNA from 1 species
CCUACGGGCGGCAGCAGUGAGGAAUAUUGGUCAAUGGGCGCGAGCCUGAACCAGCCAAGCCGCGUGCGGGAAGAAGGUACUGUGUAUUGUAAACCUCUUUUGUCCGGGAGUAAAGGCGGGGACGUGUCUCCGGUUGAGGGUAUCGUACGAAAAAGGAUCGGCUAACUCCGUGCCAGCAGCCGCGGUAAUACGGAGGAUGCGAGCGUUAUCCGGAUUUAUUGGGUUUAAAGGGUGCGAAGGCGGUUUUUUAAGUUAGCGGUAAAAGCCCGGGGCUCAACCCCGGCGAGCCGUUAAAACUGGCGGACUAGAGUUGGAGAGAGGUAGGCGGAAUGCGCGGUGUAGCGGUGAAAUGCUUAGAUAUCGCACAGAACCCCGAUUGCGAAGGCAGCGUACCAGCUCCACACUGACGCUGAGGCACGAAAGCGUGGGUAUCGAACAGGAUUAGAUACCCGAGUAGUC